CAACUACCCUGAAGCCGCCAUCCUGUGAAGAAAUCACAGGUGGAACACAGUUCCAUGACAACCAUAAAAUAAUCAGCGCAGCCAAUAUCAGAAGAUUAACAGAGUUCUUUGCAUCUUGGAGGCCUGCAAACAUACAUGCAUGAACUACGAAGAGACACUUUUCUCAUGGAACCCGGAAUUCUCAUAGGUGUUCUACAGUUUGAAAAUAGCCCAAUCAUGAUGUUGUCACAAGGCUUAUUUUUAAGUAAUGAUUUUAAUUAAACCCUCUAAAAAGGAAGCGAUUCUGUACCUCUCUUAUACGAUGUGUACAAUGAUGAUUACACAAGUGCAGUUUCCCAUUUUCCUCUGGUGUCAUGGGGGCAAGGAUAACGAUUUCCAUCUCAUCACAGGACGGAGAGGCUAUACUUCACUCUGCACAAGACUCCAGUGAAAUCAGAGGGAGGAUUUUGCACAAUAAAAUUACAAUAAAAUAACUGAAGUAAAAGCAGUUUCCACAGAAGGGGUUCAAAGACAAGAGCAUCGUGCAGGAUACCACAGAAGAUUUUUACAUGGCAACAAAUUGAGAUUUUUUUUCCAGCUCACUGGGGCAGACUGGACGAGUAUAUUUUUGCAGGUUUCCCCAUUCUCGUUCCCUCAGAAUGGCCUCUGAAACAUGGAGGGGACAGGGCAUCCUCACAACCCAACGAUGAGUGGUUGAGAGAGAAUGAGUUAUGUAAGCCAGGACCUGGAAGGACUUUCACAUGAGUAGGUGGCAGGAUGGACUCUUGGCAAACUGAGCACAGAAAGAAGCAGAUUUACGGAGUGCAGCUUCUCCCUUCCCUCUUCUUAAAUAGCAUAUUAGUUCUAAUGAGAAUGCCACUGGGAUGAUACCAUUGGGGAUACCAAUGGAUCCAAAACUUCUGAGAAUAACAGGUCUCAAAGGAAGACCAGUGAACAAAGGGACAGACGAACACAGGCACAGAUUUGAGACUUUGUCAAGAAGGUUCCACCUCAGUCAAGUGAUUCAAGUGAAUGACAUCAGUAGUGGGACAAAUAAAAACUGCAUUAUCGGAUCAAAUGCAUUAAAAGGAACACAGCAUCACUUCAUCACUUGGAUACUCCUGAAUAAAAGAAUGAAGAAACAUUGCAUAAAUGCAUAAUGAGGAACAUUCUACAAAACAACUGGCCUGUAAUCUUCAAUAUUGUGACCGUCAUGAAAGCCAAGUAAAGGUCAUGGACUUAUUCCAGAUUAAAGAUGACUGAAAAGACAUGGCAGUUAAUUGCAAUGUAUGGUUUAUAACUGGAUUCUUCUACUAUAAAGGACGUUAUUGGAAUAACUGUCAAAAUUUGAAUGGGGUUGGUAAUGUACCAUGUGAAUUUUCUGAUUUUGAUGGUUAUAUUGCCGUUAUAUGGGAGAAUGUCCUUGUUUGUAGGAAAUACAUGUCUUAAUUCCUGAACUUGGGAGUAUGUUACCUAACAAGAUUUUGCAGAUGUAAUUAAGUUAGUAUUUUGAGAUGGGAGAUCAUAAGGAAUCUUUCAGGAGGAUCCUUAUCAGGGAAAGAAGAGAGCAGGAGAGUCAGAAUCAGAGAGGGAGAUGGGCUGAUUGAAGCAGAGGUUGGAGUGAUAUGACUUCCGGAAGGGGGAUAUAAGCCAAAGAGUGUGGGCAUCCUCCAGAAGCUGGACAAAGCAAGGAACGGAUUCUCCCCUAGGGCCUCCAGAAGGAAUGCGGCCCUGCUGACACCUGGAUUUUAGUCCAUUAAGACCAUUUUGGAGUUAUCCAACAGUAAGAGAAUAAAUCUGU